UUCUCUUUGGGAAGGUACUUAGGUUUCUUUAGGCUUUGGUUUCCUCAUCUUUUAUUCAAACUUAACUACAAAGACCACCACGGAUUUCACGUGAAAACGAACUCACAUGUGAUCAAUACAGUGGCUGACAAUAAAUUCUCAAUUAAAAGACAUUAUGGAUGUAACAAAGAAGAUGCUGUAAAAUAGACCACGGAUUUUAGGGAAAGGUGACUAAAUAGCUAUGAAAUGUUUGAAUAUAUUUUGCUGUGGCCCCUGGGGGGAUCUGGAAUAUAAAGUCCUAUACAGACACAUAAUGCACACGAAGAAGGCUUGGGCUCGAAGUGUCAUUUCAGCAAUGUGCCUGGGGACGAUGCGCUGCCUUGGAAGUCGGUAACCGCUGCCCGACCUUUGGGCGUCUGGGAGGGAUGCCUGUACCUGCGCCCAGCGCUGGACGGGGCCCAGGCCCUUCCCAGGCCAGCCGACCUGCAGACUGCUUAAUGCUUCGUAGCAUACAUCUCCAGGGAAAAGAGCAUUUCCUCCCGUCAGAGAAAGCUCCUCAGUCCGGUGUGGGUUGGUUUUUAUUUUGCCUCGCUGCAAGUAGGCGAAGUCCCUUCCGUCUCCUCCCUUGGGAGACACAGCGGGAAGGGAAAACUUAG
rnacentral:lncRNA from 1 species